rnacentral:rRNA from 1 species
UACAGAGGGUGCGAGCGUUGUCCGGAAUCACUGGGCGUAAAGGGCGCGUAGGUGGCGCGACAAGUCAGUGGUGAAAGUUCGACGCUCAACGUCGAAUCGGCCACUGAUACUGUUGGGCUUGAGCACUGUAGAGGCUAAUGGAAUUCCGGGUGUAGCGGUGGAAUGCGUAGAGAUCCGGAAGAACACCGGUGGCGAAGGCGGUUAGCUGGGCAGUUGCUGACACUGAGGCGCGGACAGCGUGGGAGCAACAGGAUAGAAACCCGUGUACGUCCGAGUCACCA